GCGUUGCUCGGAAUUACUGGGCGUAAAGGGCGCGUAGGCGGCUCUGUUAGUCAGGCGUGAAAUUCCCGGGCUUAACCUGGGGACUGCGCUUGAUACUGCGGAGCUUGAGGGUGGAAGAGGGUCGUGGAAUUCCCAGUGUAGAGGUGAAAUUCGUAGAUAUUGGGAAGAACACCGGUGGCGAAGGCGGCGACCUGGUCCAUUACUGACGCUGAGGCGCGACAGCGUG
rnacentral:rRNA from 1 species